CAACCCUCAAGCCCCCGGGCUUGGCGUUGGGGAUCGGCACAAGGCGGAGGGGCACCCCUAGGGGAGCCCCCCCGGCCCGCCGUCCCCCAAAUUCAGUGGCGGUCACGUCGCGGCCUCCUAUGCGUAGUAGCAACACCUCGCACUGGAAGCCCCUCGCGUCCACGCCGUAAAACCCCCGACUUUUUAUCA
rnacentral:misc_RNA from 1 species